CCUACGGGAGACAGCAGUGAGGAAUAUUGGUCAAUGGGCGAGAGCCUGAACCAGCCAAGUCGCGUGAGGGAGUACUUCCCUAUGGGUUGUAAACCUCUUUUGUCGGGGAGCAAAAGCCGGACGUGUCCGGCUGUGAGAGUACCCGAAGAAAAAGCAUCGGCUAACUCCGUGCCAGCAGCCGCGGUAAUACGGAGGAUGCGAGCGUUAUCCGGAUUUAUUGGGUUUAAAGGGUGCGCAGGCGGAUUUUUAAGUCAGCGGUAAAAUCGUGGGGCUCAACCCCAUCCAGCCGUUGAAACUGGGGAUCUAGAGUGUGCGAGAGGUAUGCGGAAUGCGUGGUGUAGCGGUGAAAUGCAUAGAUAUCACGCAGAACCCCGAUUGCGAAGGCAGCAUACCGGUGCACAACUGACGCUCAGGCACGAAAGCGUGGGUAUCGAACAGGAUUAGAUACCCCAGUAGUC
rnacentral:rRNA from 1 species